rnacentral:rRNA from 1 species
GCAAGCUACUAAGGGCGCACGGUGGAUGCCUAGGAGCAAGGAGCCGAUGAAGGGCGUGGCAAGCUGCGAUAAGCUGCGGGGAGCCGCAAGCAGGCGUUGAUCCGCAGAUUCCCGAAUGGGGAAACCCGGCCACCGAAUGGGUGGUCACCCACCGCUGAACCCAUAGGCGGUGUGGAGGGAACCUGGGGAACUGAAACAUCUCAGUACCCAGAGGAAAAGAAAUCGAACGAGAUUCCCUCAGUAGUGGCGAGCGAACGGGGAACAGCCUAAACCAACUGGGCGUGCCCAGUUGGGGUCGUGGGACCGACAUAUGGGUACGCUUUCCGCUUAGCGGAAGUGUCUGGAACGGCACGCCAUAGAGGGUGAGAGCCCCGUACGCGAAAAGCGGAGGCGGCUCGUCGGUAUCCCGAGUAGCACGGGAUAAGUGGAGCCCUGUGCGAAUCUGCCCGGACCACCGGGUAAGGCUAAAUACUCCUUGCUACCGAUAGCGCAACCAGUACCGUGAGGGAAAGGUGAAAAGCACCCCGGUGAGGGGAGUGAAAGAGAACCUGAAACCGUGCGCCUACAAGCAGUCGGAGGACUAUACCCCUCUGGGGGACAGUCUGACGGCGUGCCUUUUGCAGAAUGAGCCGGCGAGUUACGCUCAGCGGCGAGGUUAAGCGUCUCAGACGCGGAGCCGUAGCGAAAGCGAGUCCUCACAGGGCGUUUAGUCGCUGGGCGUAGACCCGAAACCGCGCGAUCUACCCCUGGUCAGGCUGAAGCCGUGGUAGCACACGGUGGAGGGCCGUACCGGUGUCCGUUGAAAAGGGCUCGGACGAACUGGGGGUAGUGUGGUGAAAUGCCAAUCGAGCGCGGAGAUAGCUGGUUCUCCCCGAAAUGCAUUGAGGUGCAGCCUCACGCGCUAUGCUAUGCAGGUAGAGCCACUGGAUGGGCUAGGGGCCCUACCAGGCUACCGAACCCAACCAAACUCCGAAUGGCAUAGCAGGAAGCGUGGGAGUGAGACAGCGACGGAUGAGCGCCGUUGUCGAGAGGGAAACAGCCCAGACCGCCCGCUAAGGUCCCGAAACACAGGCUAAGUGUGAAAGGAUGUAGGGUCGCGUAGACAACCAGGAGGUUGGCUUAGAAGCAGCCAUCCUUUAAACAGUGCGUAACAGCUGACUGGUCGAAUGUGACCCUGCGCCGACAAUGUAAGGGGGCUUAAGCCUGUUACCGAAGCGGCGGGUUCCCCGUAAGGGGAGCGGUAGGGGAGCGUUCUGCACGCAGUGAAGGUGGAGCGGAAGCACCACUGGAGCGUGCAGAAGUGAGAAUGCCGGCACGAGUAGCGAGAAGACGGGUGAGAAUCCCGUCCGCCGAAAGCCUAAGGGUUCUUCAGGCAGGUUCGUCCGCUGAAGGUUAGGCGGUCCUAAGCCGAGGGCGAAACGCCGUAGGUGAAGGGCAGUGGGUCAACAUUCCCACCCCAGGUGGUGGAGCCAAGCGGUGACGCUCCAGGAUCGGUCGGGCGCAGAGUUGGAAGGCUGCGCUCGCCCCAGAGGCAACGCUGGGGCGACGAAGGGAUCCCUCGUGGUGAACGAAGCGACCGUGACUGGGGCCGAGAAAACCCGUGUAGCGUUGAAGCCACCUGACCGUACCGCAAACCGACACAGGUAGGCGAGGCGAGGAGCCUCAGGCGCGCGAGAGAAGUCCCGCUAAGGAACUCGGCAAAUUGACCCCGUAACUUCGGGAGAAGGGGUGCCUCCUACCGUGUAGGCUGAAACGCCCAAGCGGCGGGAGGUCGCAGCAAAGAGGGCCUGGCGACUGUUUACCAAAAACACAGCUCUCUGCUAAGGGGUAACCCGACGUAUAGGGGGCGACGCCUGGCCAAUGCCCGUAGGUUAAGGUGAGGGGUCAGCCGCAAGGUGCAGCCCCGAGCUGAAGCCCGGGUGAAUGCCGGCCGUAACUCUAACGGUCCUAAGGUAGCGAAAUUCCUUGUCGCGUAAAUUGCGACCCGCACGAAAGGCGUAACGACUGGGCCACUGUCUCAGCGGGACUCUCGGUGAAACUGUAGUACCCGUGAAGAUGCGGGUUACCUGCGGUGGGACGGAAAGACCCUAUGGAGCUUUACUACAGCCUGGGAUUGCAUUCCGGUACGUCAUGUAGAGCGUAGGUGGGAGCUUCGGCGCCAAUGGAACACCACCCUUGACUUACUGGAAUGCUAACCCGCGCCGUUAUCCGGUGCGGAGACAGUCUUAGGUGGGUAGUUUGACUGGGGCGGUCACCUCCUAAACGGUAACGGAGGUGUCCAAAGGUCCGCUCAGCGCGGUCGGAAAUCGCGCGUCGAGUGCAAGGGCAUAAGCGGGCUUGACUGUGAGACCUACGGGUCGAGCAGGUGCGAAAGCAGGGCCUAGUGACCCUCUGGUAGUGCGUGGGCACGCCAGGGUUCAACGGAUAAAAGCUACCCUAGGGAUAACAGGCUGAUCCUGCCCGAGCGUCCACAGCGACGGCGGGGUUUGGCACCUCGAUGUCGGCUCGUCGCAUCCUGGGGCUGAACAAGGUCCCAAGGGUUGGGGGGUUCACCCAUUAAAGCGGCACGCGAGCUGGGUUCAGAACGUCGUGAGACAGUUCGGUCCCUAUCCACCGCAGGCGUAGGAGACUUGAGGGGAGCUGGCCCUAGUACGAGAGGACCGGGCUGGACCGACCUCUGGUGUACCAGUUGUCCCGCCAGGGGCAGUCGCUGGGUAGCCAAGUCGGGACGGGAUAAGCGCUGAAAGCAUCUAAGCGCCAAGCCCACCCCAAGAUAAGGUCUCCCAUCCGGUCAACGGAGUAAGGUCCCCAGUAGAUGACUGGGUUGAUAGGCGGCAGGUGUAAGCGCAGUAAUGCGUUGAGCUGAGCCGUACUAAUCGACCGAGGGCUUGCCUAA